rnacentral:rRNA from 1 species
UAGGGAAUCUUCCGCAAUGGGCGAAAGCCUGACGGAGCAACGCCGCGUGAGUGAUGAAGGUCUUCGGAUCGUAAAACUCUGUUAUUAGGGAAGAACAAAUGUGUAAGUAACUAUGCACGUCUUGGCGGUACCUAAUCAGAAAGCCACGGCUAACUACGUGCCAGCAGCCGCGGUAAUACGUAGGUGGCAAGCGUUAUCCGGAAUUAUUGGGCGUAAAGCGCGCGUAGGCGGUUUUUUAAGUCUGAUGUGAAAGCCCACGGCUCAACCGUGGAGGGUCAUUGGAAACUGGAAAACUUGAGUGCAGAAGAGGAAAGUGGAAUUCCAUGUGUAGCGGUGAAAUGCGCAGAGAUAUGGAGGAACACCAGUGGCGAAGGCGACUUUCUGGUCUGUAACUGACGCUGAUGUGCGAAAGCGUGGGGAUCAAACAGG